rnacentral:lncRNA from 1 species
GGGGUGCAGAGAGAACACCAAAUGAUUUUGCACUCUGUUCAUGCUUGCUAAUGAUGCUUACCUGAAUAUUUUAUUAUCUUGAUGGGAUAUUCUUCACGCUUAUAUGAAUGAUUUAUGGGAUUGAUUAGCUUUGGGAUGAUUAAAACAACGUGAGACUUCGCCUAAGUUUGACUGAUGAACUGCGGUUAUUAUUGCAUAGAUUUCAGGAUUAAUAGUGUAUUUUCAUUGCGACUUGAUUGAUUCUAAGAAUGGGACAUAGCACGAUACAAGUCACAUUGUUGAAAAGGCUUGCACUACAUUCAAUUUCCUAUGAAGUUGAACUUGAUCACGUUAUUCGAACUCAAUAUGUUUCAUGUUGAACUGAAUCCUCAAAAUUUUGUUUGCUUGUCUUGCUAAUCUCUUGUGACUCUGCUAUUUUUGGGCGCGAGGGAUCAGUGGAUAACACCAUCCACAACUGGACCAUUGACGAGAAUUCAAGGUGCUCAGCGGAGCUUGCCGUCUCCAAAGUCUCCCCUGCUCAGUGGAGCUUCAAUAAUUACUCGCUAGUCAGGUUCUUCAAACCAGGUUUGAAGCAAGGGCCCAGAGUUGAU